rnacentral:rRNA from 1 species
AGUGAACGCUGGCGGUAGGCCUAACACAUGCCAGUCGAACGGCAGCACAGUAAGAGCUUGCCCUUACGGGUAGCGAGUGGCGGACGGGUGAGGAAUACAUCGGAAUCUACUUUUUCGUGGGGGAUAACGUAGGGAAACUUACGCUAAUACCGCAUACGACCUACGGGUGAAAGCAGGGGAUCUUCGGACCUUGCGCGAUUGAAUGAGCCGAUGUCGGAUUAGCUAGUUGGCGGGGUAAAGGCCCACCAAGGCGACGAUCCGUAGCUGGUCUGAGAGGAUGAUCAGCCACACUGGAACUGAGACACGGUCCAGACUCCUACGGGAGGCAGCAGUGGGGAAUAUUGGACAAUGGGCGCAAGCCUGAUCCAGCCAUACCGCGUGGGUGAAGAAGGCCUUCGGGUUGUAAAGCCCUUUUGUUGGGAAAGAAAAGCAGCAGGUUAAUACCCCGCUGUUCUGACGGUACCCAAAGAAUAAGCACCGGCUAACUUCGUG